UUCCAGACUCCUACGGGAGGCAGCAGUGGGGAAUAUUGCACAAUGGGGGAAACCCUGAUGCAGCGACGCCGCGUGAGCGAAGAAGUAUUUCGGUAUGUAAAGCUCUAUCAGCAGGGAAGAAAUUGACGGUACCUGAGUAAGAAGCUCCGGCUAAAUACGUGCCAGCAGCCGCGGUAAUACGUAGGGGGCGAGCGUUAUCCGGAUUCACUGGGUGUAAAGGGAGCGUAGACGGCCGUGCAAGCCAGGAGUGAAAGCCCGGGGCCCAACCCCGGGACUGCUCUUGGAACUGUGCGGCUGGAGUGCGGGAGGGGCAGGCGGAAUUCCUGGUGUAGCGGUGAAAUGCGUAGAUAUCAGGAGGAACACCGGUGGCGAAGGCGGCCUGCUGGACUGCAACUGACGUUGAGGCCCGAAAGCGUGGGGAGCAAACAGGAUUAGAUACCCCUGUAGGA
rnacentral:rRNA from 1 species